GAAAGGAGCUGAGAGACGGUUGAAAAUGUCGUUAACAUCCGUCAUAUCGGUACCCCCAAUUUGGAAACCCAAGUCAGUGUCAAUUAUAGGAUCGAGGUGCCUGUUCUCAUACGGGAACUCAAGGUCGGGUUAGGAACUCCGAGAUCACUAAAUUUAGGAGAUGCGAUUGUCGAGACAUAACCUUUGAGAGGAAUUUCAAAGUAAGAUUAAACCAACGCGACUCCAGAGGGUAUUCGUCAUUGAUGUCCAUCAAGACGUUAGUUGGGGUGGUUAUCAUAAGUCCUGUGACCGCACGGAGAGCCGCGUAUUGCAAGCGACUAGCCUUUAAGUAAGGUAAUUGAUAUGAGCCCUCCAUUUGAGCUCUGAGUCCAAGACCACUCCCAGGAAUCUAGUAGCCAUGAAAAACGGAAUAUUCUCAUUACCAACUUUUAGAGAGAAUUUGCAUCUAUUUAGUAGAAUGCGGAGAUUAUGAGGUUUAAGAGUGGAAAAGAUCAUAUAGUUGGACUUAGAGAGAGAAAUCUCAAGUCCCAAGCAGUUGAAAUAUUGAAAUAAGUUGUCAAGUGCAGUAUUAAGUUGAUUAUUGAUAACAUCGAUUGGAUAACGUCGAUCGGAACAAUAAAUUGCAAUAUCAUCAUUAUAAUAGAGUAUCUUUACUUCGUCUGGCAACACUGUGUGUGAAAGAGCUAUAUACAGAUUAAAUAAUAAAGGGCUCAAUAUGGAGCCUUGUGGAAGGCCGAUAGUAGUAGUUCGGUUUUGCAAGUUAAUACCAGCGGCGAAGCCAAUGAGAUCUCUAUGAGCAACAAGCGAAUUAAUAAAUUUAAGGAUUUUAGGAGGAAGACCAUAUUUAUUCAAAAGAGCUAUAAGAAUCUCCGGUCUGAUCCUGUCAAACGCUUCUACUAUAUCCAGGAAUGCUACGCCCGUAUAUUUUUGGGAUUUGUUAGAAAUAUAAAUAUUUGCAAUUAAAGUGGCAAUACUAUCCAUACAGGAUAGCCCCUUUCUAAAACUGAAUUGAGUAUUAGACAGUAUCAAACUGUUCUCCGCCCACCAUUCAAUUCUCUUAUAGAUAAGUUUUUCAAAUAAUUUUAAGAGGUUGUUAGCAAGAGAGAUGAGUCUGAGAGAAUCUCUGCGGCCUGGCUUAGGAAUAAAUACAAGAAAGUAUUUUGACCAUUGUUGAGAAAAAUGCUUUUAUUAAACAUUAGAUUAAACAAUUUCAGAAUAUAGAUGUGUAAUUCUGGUGGAAAUCUUUUUAUUAUCCUAUUAGAGAUCAGAUUAGGACCGGGAAAGGAUCUAACUUUUAAAGUAGAGAUUGCUUCAUUAUAUUCAUACUUAGAAAAUGGAGUGAGAAGAAAUUCUUUAUUUACGUCAGUGUCGAUGUUAUGGAUUGUUGAAAUAAAGUUUUGGAGAUUAGGGACAGGUGUAAGGAUUGGAGGAGACAGCUUGUUGAAGGCUUCGGUAAAUGACUCCAGAGAGAUAGAAGAGUGCGGGGGGUUAUUUGAAUUUCUAUUAGAAAAAGCUCUGAUGUAUUUCCACACUGUGGUUAUAGGAGUAUUCAUAUUAAGUGAGGAGCAAAAAUCGCGGAAAGCUGGCUUCUUUUUUCUUGCAAAGAAUUUUUUGUUUGUUUUCUACAUUCUAAAUAUUCCGAAAGACUUGAAGAUGAGGGGGAUUGUUUAAAUCUGUGAAAAAUUUGAUUUUUUUUUUUAAAUGAUGUCCCUACACUCGUCAUCCCACCAAACAGUAGGGUGUUUUCUCCUGACGCCAUUGGCAGGCAGCUCUUUAGCUCCAGCCCUAGUCAGUGAGCCAUGAAUAGCCUCGAUUAAGUUAUUGUAGUCUCCACUCAAAUCACCACUAAACCUGCACUCCCGGUCUACAAAUAUGGUGCAUUCCAGUUGGAAUGCUUGCCAAUCUACUCCAGCUAACGUAAAUGAGGGACGAUCAAAGGAUGGACUAUUGCAGGACAUCCCAGAAGCACUUUGCAGCCGUGGAUGAAGAGACAAGAGUUAUAUCAAGGGCAGAAGUGGCUGACAUGUCUAGCGAAGACCAGGUAUAAUUACCGUCAUUAAGGCACGACAGAUUAAGCUGAGAGACUGCUCCCUCCAAUUUUAGUCCCUCGGGAUCAGGGCCGGAUAUAUUAGGUGACCAAAGUGCACUCUUCCCAUUUACAUCACCACAGAUGACUACGGGAUUAAAGUUAGCGCAAUACUGAAGAAGAGUGAGCCAGGCCUGCGGAUCUGUGUGAGGAUGGCUUCCGCCACAAGGGGGCUAUAAAGAGAACAUAUAUAUAUGAAUUUGUUCGGUCCAAGCCAAACCUUGCCCAGGAUGUAUUCUAUAUUAUUGCGGUCACAGGACGAAUUAAUAUUAUCGUUUGUAAUUCGUGUAAAUCUAAGUUUAUUGGAAAUGAGUAUUGCAACCCCACCUCCAUGUCGAUUACGAUCGCAAGAAUAUAUAUCAUAAUUAUUAAUGUUGGGGCGAUAUUGUUCAUCUAACCUUGUUUCACAAAGUGUUACUAUAUCAAUUUUAUACUUGUCAAGCAAGAAUGUAAGUUCGGAAAUUCUCCUUUUCAAAGAUCGACAAUUCCAUUGUAAGAUGUUAGUUAUGGAACAGUUUUAAGAUGUUUCCUACAGCGGGAAUAGAAGGAGGUUUUCCAACAUGUUUUUAGUGCACUAUUAACCGAAUACACAUAAAAUUCUGAACCAGUACAGAGCAAGCCAACCGAAUACUAAAUACUGAAAGAGUGCGCAUUCAGUGCGCACUAGUGCAUUCAAUCGAAUUCGCCAUUAGAGAGUAUGUUUCCACCGAGGGUUCAAAUCGGGUCAAAGUUGGGUCAGAGUAGGGUCAGAGUCGGAUU